CAUUUUGGCAGUGUUUGACUGAUGCUUUAUUGCUGCCACAGAUUCUGUCUGGAGGGAAGGCAUCAAGAUUAUGCCAAGAUUAUGCCAAUCUGCCAUCUUCAACCAGGACACUAAGAUGUGUAAUAUAUUUAGACUCGGAAAAUACUCGAAGGAUAUGAAAUAGUUUGGGUUGAGUGCUGUUUAUCAUUUUCCUGGUUGGUCGGUUGUAGUUCACGGCAACUGUGAGUGUGCUUUAUGGAUGAAGUUAAGAUCUUGACUAAUCAACCUGCUGCCUCCUGCCUCGCCCCUGGAUUUGUCUGCCUGAGCCUGCCUCCUGGGUUUCACCCAGUUACUGCCCCCCCCGACCACCAAGUCUUGGAUCUUCCCCCCUUGUCGGCAAUCCGACUUCUGGCUGCGGCGUGUUCUGCACCGAUCCUCCCGGUCUGGAGACUGCCAGGACCGCACCCCGCAAA